rnacentral:rRNA from 1 species
CCCUUAGAUGUUCUGGGCUGCACGCGCGCUACACUGAAGCUAUCAACACGUUUUCCCUCCCUGAGAAGGGCGGGUAACCUUUUGAAUCAGCUUCGUGGUAGGGAUCGGGGCUUGCAAUUGUUCCCCGUGAACCAGGAAUUCCUAGUAGACGCGAGUCAUAAGCUCGCAUCGAUUAUGUCCCUGCCCUUUGUACACACCGCCCGUCGCUACUACCGAUUGAACGUUUUAGUGAGGCAUUUGGACCGACGCAUCUCAGUUUAACCGCUGGUUUGUGUUGGAAAGACUUCCAAACUUGAGCGUUUAGAGGAAGUAAAAGUCGUAACA